GUGAGUUCUCACUCAUUUUGUUCAGAUUUUCCAAGGAAUGCAUAUGAGGGAGUCAUCAUCGAUCCGAGCACGUUCUGCCAACCUGGACAAACUAACCAGGCAGGCUGGGGGGCUCCGCAGCGGGCGAGCCGAUCGCCUCAUGGGCGCCAGCGGCCUGGAGAAUCCAGAGCCGAGCCCCGCCGGAGCAGGGGCAACAGUCAGUCCGCCCUCAGAGCACGACGCCGCGGGCCCCCGGGCACACGCGCCCAAGAAGCCUCUGAGGCAGGUCUAGCGAAGCCCUCAGGGCGAGAGGCCGAACUUGGGACAAAGCAAUGCUGACCGUCCUGGGCCGUCCGAGGGCGUGGUGCGCAUCCCGGGCCACACUUCCGCCGCGACUGCCUCGCACCUGCGCUCGUCACGGGACACGAAGGGUCUUCUCUUCUUGGGCGACGGCAAGCUUUGCUCGGAGAUCCCACCUGGGAAGUGCAGAGCAAUCGCACGCGCACGCCUCAGCGACCCAGCCAGGCUCUCAGGUAACCAGAGCCAGGCCAAGGGUUCCACCCCGACUCCCUGCCCCGGGGCAAGCCUUGCAUCUUCUUGGCCUCUACCUCUUCCCCUCAGGUGUGACAAGAAGGCGUGUGUGACAGCACAAGCGCAGGAAGGCGCGCAGGCGGGCGCGUGUGCGUGUCUUCGGGUGCGCGGGGCCCGAGACCCUGAAGAAGCACGUCUUCCGCACACAUCACUGGCCUCAGGCCCUGCCGCGAGACCAGGAGCUCGCGCUGGCGGCUUUGACCUCGACUCGCCCGGCGGCUCACCUCUGCCCUUUCGGCCUGCUGAAAUAGGCCACAGGCUCCCUCUCUCACAGCCCCUGCCUCUGAACACCGGAACACGACACUCCAGCAGGUUCACCCUCCGCCCGACCGUGGGCGCCCGCUGUCCCCGCACGCCGUGCCACGCGAACCGCGCCCGACGGAAACGCGCCGACCACUGCUGGACCUGAACCACGUAAAGCGCCUACACCACUCGAAGGCUGGCGCCGCUGGGACACGGGCUAGAGGGCAGAAGCAGCAGCCCCUCCUGAUCUCCAGUGGCCACGCCACCGGGGGACCGGGGGCCAGGCGCCUCUUCCUGCUGACUGAGGCUACACCCACGCCCUCAGCGGUGCCAGCGGCAGGGGAAGUGCCAGGAAGAGGUGGUCUGUGGCCACCACGACCCACGCUAAGACCCGACUGAACCUGGAGCCCACUCCCGUCCAGGGACCUGGCGUUACCACAGCGGGCCCGCUUUCUGGACCCCGGCCUUCCAGGACUCCUUCCCACCCACGCGCUGCCUGGCCCACCUCAGGCCUGCGAGGCAAGUCCCCCAAGCAGGACCUCAAACCCUACACACACGUGGCGGCCAGGGAGCCCCGGGGAGGACGGCCACGAGGGAAUCUCGACUGUGCGUACGGGACUCGACCCGUCACGUUCAACGUCUGGACCCUCCCUCGGCACCUGUAACACCACAAACGACCUCACACGGCCCCAAGGAUGGCUCUGUCCACGAAGGCAAGAGGAGGCACGGAACGAGCACACACACACCCCGCCCCCGCCACCCUUGGAGAGGCGGACGUUUUCCAAGGCGGACGUCUGUGCGCGGCAGGGCAGCUCGGGUCACGGCACCCGCCGUCUCCGCCAGGCCCACAGGCUUCCACGAAGAAACCUAAAGCCCUGCGACGAGGCAUGAGGCGAACCGCGCCAGGAAAAUCGGACCGUGCUGGAGGAACGCUUUCUCCUCGGAGACCCCGCGCCUGAGACGGGGGAGGAUCCAAGGCCACGGUCGCCCAAGCAAUCGAUGAGCAGCGGCGGCCGGCCGCCCGGCAGUCACGUGCCGGGCCCCUCUUCAAGGAACCGUGGAGAGAACCGCAGAGCGCCACCGCUCUGGAACAAGGCCCGCCAUCUGCCACAAAGGUCACCGACCACAGUGCACACCCCCGGGCCUUCAAGCCUCCAGCCUUCCCCGGCACGCACCAAUCGCCAGCCCCGUCAGAGCCAGGGCACGUUCCCGACAAGCCGCUGCCAGCGCUCGGAACACAACGAGGCAGCACGUCCCACGGAAGCCCACGGCAUCACACUGUGACCUGUCCUCUCCGUGCUCUUCUUCCCCCCCAGCUCCCCACGACCAGGCCAUCAGCCACCACAGUGUCCUGACCUGAGUGCCAGGCCCACAGCCCGGUCCCCGUUUGGGCACCUUGGCGUGGACUGGGCGAGCCGGAGAACUAGAGGAGCCCCAAGCUGCAGCACCAAAGUCUCACCCCUCCGGCGGCGCCCCAAACCGCGAGGGGUGCUCCAACUGCCUCACCAAGCCAAAAGGCAAGAACAGCUGACGGCCGCCCGCCUGGCCCGGGGCUCUCAUCAGAAACCACGCGACCUUCCACUGCUUACUGCUCAGCUCCGAGACGCAGACCCCCGGGGCCUUCGUCCCCGGCGGGAACCAGGCCCACACAGCCACAAGGCCCUGAGCUCACGGGGCCUGUGCCAGCGCCACACUCUCCGACUUCCCAACCUAGGAUGCGAGCUGCCAGCCACGGCCCUCAGCCACAGGCCGUUCAACCAAGCACCGCCGACUGACGGACACCCCCCUCACGCGGUGAGAGGAAGGACCCCCAAAUGCCACGGCUCCCAAAUGCGGACGCCCGGCGUGGUGCCCGUGCCCGUCCCAGUGCGCUCAAGGGGAAGCGGUCCCUCACUCCUGCCAUGCCUGGGGAAGACAACGUGCCGGACCUCAGUUUCGAUGAGAACGACGGUAGUG
ensembl:lncRNA